AGCUUUUUGAAUCCGUGCUGAGAUUUCGUCAGACGCCAACCCAUUAAGACUGAUCAGACUUCCAAUAUAAGUGAAGUU
rnacentral:pre_miRNA from 1 species